GGUUGGAUUGGAAAGGUCCUUGAAGGUCACAGAAUCAUAGAAUGAUUGGGUUGGAUUGGAAAGGUCCUUAAAGAUCACCGAACCAUGGAAUGGUCAGGUUGGAUUGGAAAGGUCCUUAAAGAUCACAGAACCAUGGAAUGGUCUGGUUGGAUUGGAAAGGUCCUUGCAGGUCAGAGAACCACGCAAUGGUCAGGUUGGAUUGGAAAGAUCCUGGAAGGUCACAGAACCAUGGAAUGGUCAGGUUGGAUUGGAAAGGUCCUCGAAGGUCACAGAACCACGCAAUGGUCAGGUUGGAUUGGAAAGGUCCUUGAAGAUCACAGAAGCAUGGAAUGGUUGGGUUGGAUUGGAAAGGUCCUUAAAGAUCACAGAAGCAUGGAAUGGUUGGGUUGGAUUGGAAAGGUCCUGGAAGGUCACAGAACCAUGGAAUGGUCGGGUUGGGUUGGAAAGGUCCUGGAAGGUCACAGAACCACGCAAUGGUCAGGUUGGAUUGGAAAGAUCCUGGAAGGUCACAGAACCAUGGAAUGGUCAGGUUGGAUUGGAAAGGUCCUCAAAGAUCACCGAACCAUGGAAUGGUCAGGUUGGAUUGGAAAGGUCCUGGAAGGUCACAGAACCAUGGAAUGGUCUGGUUGGAUUGGAAAGGUCCUUAAAGAUCACAGAACCAUGGAAUAGUGGGACUGGAUUGGAAAGGUCCUUGAAGGUCACAGAAUCAUACAAUGGUCCUUCAAAAUCAAAGAACCAUGGAAUAGUGGGAUUGGACUGGAAAGGUCCUUAAAGAUCACAGAACGAUGGAAUGGUUGGGCUGGGUUGGAAAGGUCCUGGAAGGCCACAGAAUCAUAGAAUGGAUGGGUGCAAUCGGAAAGGUCCUUGCAGGUCACAGAACCAUGGAAUGGUUCGGCGCCGCGGGAGCCGAGCGAUGGCGGCGGCAGCGUCCCCACCCGGACACAGGGCACCGGGGCACAACGUGCGUCCGUCUGUCCUGCCUGUCUCAUCUGUCUGUCCAUCCUGUCCAUCCUGUCCGUCUGUCUGUCCUGUCCGUUCCUCUGUCCGACCUUCCUGUCUGUCCUGUCCGUUCCUCUGUCCGUCCAUCCUGUCUGUCUUGUCCGUUCCUCUGUCCAGCCUGUCUUGUCUCUCUGUCUGUCCUGCCCAGCUGUCCUGUCCGUCCCUCUGUCUGUCCUGACUCUGUCCAUCUGUCCUGUCCGUCUGUCUUGUCCAUCCUGUCUCGCCUCUCUGUCUGCCCUGUCCGUCCUGUCCGUCCCGUCUGUCUUGUCCAUCUGUCCUGUCUGGCUGCCUUGUCCAUCCCAUCUGUCCUGUCCGUUCUGUCCAUCCUGUCUGACUCUGUCUGUCCGUCCUGUCCGUCUGUCCUGUCCCUCCUGUCCGUCCUGUCUGCCUGUCCUGCCUACCUGUCCUGUCCAUCCCACCCAUCCUGUCCGUCCUGUCUGUCUUGUCUGUCUGUCCUGUCUGUCCAUCCUGUCCACCCCAUCUGUCCUGUCCGUCCUGUCCAUCCUGUCUGUCUGUCCGUCUUGUCCGUCUGUCCUGACCGUUCUGUCCAUCCUGUCUGCCUUUCCUGCCUAUAUCUGCCCUGUCCAUCCCACCCAUCCUGCCCAUCCUGUCCAUCCCGUCUUGUCUGUCUGUCCUGUCUGUCUUGUCUGUCUGUCCUGACCGUUCUGUCCAUCCUGUCUGCCUGUCCUGCCUAUCUCUCCUGUCCAUCCUGCCCAUCCUGUCCGGCCUGUCUAUCUUGUCUCUCUGUCUGCCCUGUCCGUCUGUCCAUCCUGUCUCCGUCCGUCCUGUCCGUCCUGUCCGUCUGUCUGCCUCCCUGCUGCAACGCUCAUCCCCUGCUCAGAGCAGCGCUGC
rnacentral:lncRNA from 1 species